AAUAAAUCCAAAGACAUAAAUAGAGUUAAAGCUUCAGUAAUCUUCUAGCACAAAGCCCCGUUGUGGGGGGUGGUAUGGAUAUUCCAAAGCUCGAAAAUGCCAAGAGGGACUCAGACUGGUGGUGUUAAGCCCCCAAAGUAAUCAGAAAUUCCCUUUGAAACGUACAGUUGAAAAAAGAAAGAAAAAGAGAAAGAAAAGGAAGGCCUUUCAGAGGGCUAGCUCGCUGACUCCUCCCAGAACGGUCUGAUCCCCUCGGCUGCUGAAGCAAGAGGUCAGAUCCCCAGACGGAAAAUUAAUCUCUAAGAGUCGCUGGAUAGAAUUUCUAAUUCACCAGUGCCAGGACACGCGGUCUGUUUCCAGCCAAGGAGGACAGGGCUGAGGCUUUAGCUUCCCUAGCCCACUGUACACAGUCAAGCCAAGCUGACACCACCCCCCAGGAGCCCACAGCAUCCAACAGUCAAGUGGACACAGGGGUCUCACUGAGAGUCCCUGAACCCACCUUUCCCAACGGGUUCCAUUUUGAAAUACUGUGUGAUUGUAUUAUUAUUAGAGUUAAUUAAUAAUUUUGGGUUAUUGCCUUUGAAACCGGAGUCCAGUGCUUCUUAAGUUCAACUGAGACCCUCCAAGGCUGCCAUGUGGUGGGGAAAGGGAGGGAGUGACACAGCAAAGAGGAGACACGGCUCAGCUUCUAUCUGUUUGAUACACUGGCCUUACAAAUGGUCCACAACUUUACAUUCUGUGAAAACCAGAACCUGAUUCUUUGAGUGUAAAGAUGAGGAAUCUGAGGGCCAAAGAGGUCGACCUCUUGUCCUGGGUUAUACAUCGAGUUGUUCAGUCACUGAACCAACAAGUGAAGCAGGGGUACGUAUCCUUGAAAAAAGAGUAACUGAGACUCACAAGAACAGUCUGGGGUGGGGCCGGUAUGAACACGGAAAGCUGUUUUCAGAGACAGGGCUAAGAGCUAAGUGGGGUUAGCUUGGAUUUUACCGGCUAAGGGCUUCCAAUCCACAUUCCUCCAGUGCAGCACCAUUCCUUUCAGUGGCUGGCUUUUUGGGUAACCAGCCUUCUCAGGCAGCUCAGGGGGAAUAUGCAAUCUCCUGCCAACUUCACCUCCAUGGUAAUGCAACACCUGUUCAUGCCGUACCUGCUACCAGUUACGGAUGAGGGAGACUGGGAUCCUUCCCGGAAGCUCACCCCCAGGUGGGGUAAGCCGACACUGAAACACCCUAGGGCAGCACUGCAGAGAAGCAGUGGUGAGGGGGUGCGUGUAGACGUGGGCCCACUGUGAGGAGUAUCCCAAGGCAGCUUUAUAGAUGGGUUCCAGUAUUAUUCCAGUGAGCAGUCCACAGGCUCAAAACAUGGCAGGAGUGUAUCUUACUAGCUAGCUAACCUUGGGAAAGUACUUAACCUCUUUGUGAUUUGGCCUCCUUAUCUGUAAAGGCCUCCUUAUCUGCAAAGCACAAGACAGAUCAGGACCUCGUGGGAUUUUUGUGAGGAUUAAGUGAGUUAAUCCAUAGUCAUACACACAAUGACUGCUGACACUUCCUGACUACCCUCUGUUAUCAUUUCAGGAGCCCCUUGAAGAGAAGGGUGCCAGUCCCCACCACACCACAAUAUGCCAGAUUCACUAAAGCUAGCGGCUUCCUCAUCGUCUAAGCACUUGCUCGAAUCUCCGCUUUAGGAUUGUCUGUAAUUUUCUCCUCCAUCGAUUUCUGUCUGUAGCUGUUAGUCCGCUUCCUAGGGUGAAAACAACUGCUGUCAUCCAGUUAUCUGAACCAGCCUGGCCUGUCCGGAUCCCUCCUCAUCAGAGAUGCCGACAGCUGAAAGUGACAUGGCCAACUUGGUAGGAGUUUCAGUCUGAUCAACUCCAUCCAACACCCAGGCUCCUCUGGCCAAAGUGUCAGCUGAGGGGGAGGGGGAGGGGAAGGGAGGUCAAUUGUGAGGUGGGGUGAAGCAGUUGCUGGCUUCCCAUCUCAGUGGCCUUGUCUCAGAAGGUGCCUUGUCAGUCCCCAUGUCCCCAAACAUGUAACACUCUACACAAAGGCACUCUGGUGAAACAGGAUAACUUCCUAGGGGCAUUUAAAGUGUUCCCUUUCAAUUUCAGGGAGUCUUCAAAACUGUUGGAGAUACAUAAUAAAUCUUUGCUGUUACUCCCAGGCUUGAAAUAAUUUACAGGCUUUUUUUCAGCACAGCAGGAAGCAGUGUUAUCAUUUAAGAAGCACUUAAUGUUGUUCAUUUUUUAAAAAUGAGACUAUUAGCUUAUUACAUUAAAAAAAAAAAAAAAGAUAGAUAAGACUGACAAUCCCUACUCCCCAUCAAGUGUGGCCCUUACAUACUAAGCUUUCUAUUGUUACUCCCCAGUUGGGAUCCUUCCUAGGACUUGAGUGGAUAUCUUUUUUGCCUGUGUUAUUCUUCGGCUUUCAUUACCAACUAUCUGAAAAGUCCACUUCCUGCUGCUUCUCUGCUCUCCCUAAGUUAGCAUUUCCAUUUCAAGCCCUCCGUCUUAUACAAAACCACACUUCUCUUUCUUGCUUGUAGCUGUUACCAGGGAGCAGCUUAUGUAAUGGUACUCUCUGGUUUCAGGUUGCUUCAUUUUUAUUCUUCUAGCCUGACUGUCAGCUCCUUGAAGGUGGGGAACCUGCCCUUGUUUUUCCUCUUGUUCUUUUUUUAAACCUGUAAAACAUUAGGCCCUCUCUCCUAAAAUCCAAUCCUUUGAUGUCACCAGUAGAAACAGUGUAUUUUCUGUACCAGACAGAAAACAGUGUAUUUUUCUGUACCAGACAGAAAAACCUGUAUUCAAAUAUUCAGCUUGAAUAUUAACAGCCAGUCUGACCUUGGGUACGUUCUUUUAAUUUUCUGAGUCUGUUUUCUCAUUUGUAAAAAUGAAAAUAACAAACUUCGAACAUAAACUUAUUAUGAGAACUACGUGAGAAACUUUAAAUGUUGGUUCUGCAAGGAAAUUUCUAAGCGACCAGAGCACUAUGAGUUACACAUGCAGCUUUCUUGUAAUUUGCUUUGAAACAGGAAGAAAAUUUGGAAACCUUGAGGAAGAGAAAUGUUUCAAGAAACAUAAACUCUGAGACAUACAGACUUCAAUUCCUCAUGCCAUUACUUAAUAGCUGUGUGACUUUAGGGAAACUGUUUGCCCUUUCUGAGUCUCUAAAUCCUCACUUGCAUGAUGAGAAUAGUCACAUAUAUAGCAUGGUGAAUGGUCCAGAGUGCUGGUUCAAGAAAGAGGAGUUUCUAUUCCUUUUGACUAGACACUACCUUGAACUGUGCCCAGCUCUGACUUGUAAUCCAGUCAGAUCUCCUCCGGAAAGUGGUAAGUUACGUGUGGCUACAGGCUCCAAUGCUUAACUCAGAGUGGGGUUACUCAGAUCUGGGCAUUCGCUAAAGUUGCUUAGGUCAAUUUUCGUCCUUUGCAUGCCACUUAGUCAAAGUGGACUGCUCUCCAUGGUAACCAGCCACCCUUUCUCCCACUGGCCUAGCUCAUUCCAAUGGGAGGGGGGAAUGGAUUCACCAUAAGGAUUGAUUUCUCUUUUAAUAUUUAAAAGCAACUCUAUUACUCAGAAUCCAGUCAGGAGAUGAGAAGCCACUCUAGGUCGUUCAACAAGAACUGAGUGCAGGAAAUUUGUUCAUAGAAGACAGAAGAAACUAAAGCCGGGCAGAUGAUGUUGAAGGAACUGAAGAGAUCAGCAAAGGCCAAAAGCUGCUACUCCUCUUAGGGAUCAAGAGAUGAUGGGAGGCAUUGGAGGGACCAGAGCCAGGGGCUGGUGAUGCCAGGCUGGAGGUGAAACCAAAGAAGGGCUGAGCGGUCAGAAUGGGGCAGCUGCUAUAGUGAAAGAAACAACCUGACUUCUCCCUGCUUCCCGCAUGUCAAUCUUCCAUCAGUAUUUCCCAUUGGCCAAACUUACUCAGUGGCCAGCUGCAAGGGAGCCUGGGAAAUGCAGUACACAGCAGGACAGGGGUGAACAAGCCAUCGGAGAGCAAGCAGGCAAAUGAGUGGCCCAGCCAUCUUUCAGUAACAUAUACAAGGUGCUAGUACAAUGUGUGAUUUAUGGCCAGCUGCUAAUGGUAGGUAUCAUCAUAAAUAUCAUUCUAAUUUUGUAUAACUCUCACUGAAGGUUUAAUCAUACCAGUCACUGUUCUAAAUGCUUUCUAUAUAUUAUCUCAUUUAAUCUUCACAACAAUCUCAUGAGGCACGCACUCUUCAUAGCCUCAUUUUUACAGUGAGAAAACCAGCUUAGAGAGGCAAAAGGAUUGACCUAAUGUACAGUUAUAGCAUCUGAACUCAGGAUUGGAACCCAGAUUUAUGUGACAUCUGAGUCCUAUUUAUUACUUAUAAUAUGAAUCAUACAGCUCGCAGUAAAAGGGAGGGUCCUAGAUAAGCUGAAGACGAAAUUUGUCAUAAUUACUGGGAGGAUAUCUUGAAGACCUACAUUUCCAGGGCUGAAAGCCUAGAACACUCUGUGAACAUUAAAUUUGCCCUUAAAAAAGUAGAGACCAAGAACAAACUACAUCACUUAAUGCAUUUUGUGAUAGUCCAUGGCGUUCCCUCUUGAAGGCAACAGCGUAUUUUUGCUAUGAGGAUGCCAAGUUCAGUGGCCUCUGCAGGCCUGCUGUUUACUGACAUUUGAUAUGCUUCAACAUCUGUUGCCCUUCUCGAUUGAUGGGUGCUUCAUUUUAGCACUUCCCUGAUGCCAGGCUGGUAAAAGCUUUAGUACUGAGGUCCUCUAAGACACUCCUAGGUCAGUGACACAGCUUUGUUUGUGAAGCUGGCCGGCGGAAGGAACAUUCAGAGAAGCGUGGUAAGGGACAUGCCAUCCAUCUCCCAUGCUGGAUACUUUCAAUUCUACCUCUGGGGGCCAAGCAGCAGCUCCAGAAAGUUACAAACC
rnacentral:lncRNA from 1 species